rnacentral:rRNA from 1 species
GUGCCAGCCGCCGCGGUAAUACCGGCAGCCCGAGUGAUGGCCGAUCUUAUUGGGCCUAAAGCGUCCGUAGCCAGCCGAACAAGUCCGUUGGGAAAUCCACCCGCCUAACGGGUGGGCGUCCAGCGGAAACUGUCCGGCUUGGGGCCGAACGACCCGAGGGGUACGUCCGGGGUAGGAGUGAAAUCCUAUAAUCCCGCACGGACCACCGAUGGCGAAAGCACUUCGAGAAAACGGAUCCGACAGUGAGGGACGAAAGCCAGGGUCUCCAACCGGAUUAGAUACCCCGGUAGUCC